CUGCAGUUCCUGGAAGGGUGGUCCUUGCUUUUGCUGCUUCUGCAUUCUCCUCUUCAGGAACUACACACUUCCAAAGACCAUAGGUUUUCCCUACUGUUGUCUGCCACAGCCUUAACGUACCAUCCUCUGAGCCACUGGCAUAUAACUCCCCGUCAGGGCUAAAUCUCACACAGUGAAUUGGACCAAAGUGCCCUUUGUAAGAUUCUAGUUCUUCUCCUGUGUUAUAGUCAUAUUUAUAGAGUUUAAAAUCUUCACCACCUG
rnacentral:lncRNA from 1 species